UGAGGAAUCUUGCGCAAUGGGGGAAACCCUGACGCAGCAACGCCGCGUGAGUGAAGAAGGCUUUCGGGUCGUAAAGCUCUGUCAGGUGGGAAGAAAUACUUGGCGCCAAUAACGCCAGGGGCUGACGGUACCACCAGAGGAAGCACCGGCUAACUCCGUGCCAGCAGCCGCGGUAAUACGGAGGGUGCAAGCGUUGUUCGGAAUUACUGGGCGUAAAGAGCGUGUAGGCGGUUGAUUAAGUCAGGUGUGAAAGCCCUUGGCUCAACCAAGGAAGUGCAUCUGAAACUAGUCAACUUGAGUACGGGAGAGGAGAGUGGAAUUCCUGGUGUAGAGGUGAAAUUCGUAGAUAUCAGGAGGAACACCGGUGGCGAAGGCGACUCUCUGGACCGAUACUGACGCUGAGACGCGAAAGCGUGGGGAGCAAACAGGAUUAGAUACCCCCGUAGUCC
rnacentral:rRNA from 1 species